CAGAGGUGUAUGCUGCGAGAAGAGGCUGGGAGCCUCCUCCAUGGAGAGUCAUCAGAUUCUCAGUUGUCCAGCCAGUCUUGCAUUCCUUUUGGUUCUGAGGAGAAUGUCACUGCCAAUGCCUUCAUCAACGGCAUGGAGGACAUGGUUUCUGUGCCUAUUCUCUGUUGGGAAUUCUUGCUUCCAAUGAUCAGGCUUCAAACAAAUGUGGAAGUUGCCUGUGAGCACAGUGUAUCGCUUUUGACUCUAUAAGGAAGCCAAGAGCUGGGUCUUUCAUUCUUCCUUCUUAUGGAUACGAUUUGGGAACUUUAGACUCUCUUCUUAUUCCUAAUUGGAGAAAACUGGAGAUAGCAAUGCUAAGAUGAUCAAGGAGAGCCGCCAGACCCACAGCCAGCUUUUGGAGUUCUUUUGAAAGUCCAGAGGAUAUCAACAGUUCAAUUCCAGGACUGGCUAUAGACACAUAGAGUUUCCUCUGAAAACUGUGAUUCCCUUUUACAAGUGAUAUAGACCAUGUGUUGGAGAGUCCUGUGGACCUGCCACUUAUGUGCUAUCUGGUUCUGAUACUAGAUUCUUCAAAGUCAAGGCUGGAGGUACUAUCUUGAGAGAGAAGUAAGAUGUCUGUCCUAAAGGAGUGUACAGUCCAGAAGAGGCAGGAAAGUUUUAAGAAUAUUCUUGUGAAUGAAGAGAAUCCUGGCAAACAACAAUGAAAUCAUAUAAUCAAGAGAGAAAGAGUGAGAAGCUAUCAGACUCAAAGCCUUUGGAAUGCAGAGAGUGGGAGAGGACUACAUACUUCAUGAGAGGAGACCAAGACAUCAUCAAGAGAUGAUUCAUGAAUAGGGACAAAAGGGAAUAUCUAUUAGUCAUGGAGUUAAAAGAAAGGAACAAAUUUAUAACAAGGAUACCAGGGCUGUAGAGGAGAUUAAGUAACUGACAAGGACAAAGAAAGAACACCUUGGC